rnacentral:snRNA from 1 species
AUCAUUGUUUCUGUAAAUGCU